UCUUUAGUGGUGAUUUCUGAUAUUUUGGCGC
rnacentral:piRNA from 1 species